GGACCACGGAGGUGACCAGAUAUGCGAAAAAACAUGGUGUCAACUUUAUAGUGAAGUCUUCCAUUUUCAUAUGACACGAUCUCUACUCCCUUCUUAAACGACGACACGGGUGUCCGUGGUGUAAUCUCCCAGCCAGGCGGAUAAUCAAAAUCGGGCAAGGGUAUUUUGUUCAAGCAGACAAACUUUAGAGUAUUCUUUAACUCUUGAACAGUUGUUGUUGGAGAGACUUGCUUGGUGAAAUGAAUGGAGAAAUAAUUUUGUUUCCCUGCUCAGGAACUGAGAUGUGUCUAAACGUAGGACCAUGUUCUAAACGUCCAAAGAAGUCCUGCUCUACUAAACCAUUUGAAGGUGUAUCUGCCGUGAACUUUAUUUCAAUUGUAUUAUUUCUGGCUUUCAACCAGUCUUUAACGCUUGAUUCAAUGGCUUUGCAUGUAUUCUCACGCUCUAGAUCUGUAGCCAUAUUUUUUCUAAACAUUCAACAAAAUGACACAUAUUUUUAGGAUAAAAAACUAGCACCAUGUACAGACUAUGUUAUAUGUUAAAUACCGAGAUUUUGUUGGCAUCUCAAUCGAUUGAAUACCAGUUAAUUAAAG